GUUUUCAUCAUGGUGUAAUAAUAAUUAUUAAUAAUUAAUAAAAGAAAAUAAAUAUUAUUCUGAGGUUAUAUUAGAUUCUAUCUAUAGCCAUGGUUUUCACAAUGCUUCCCCAUGAUAUCAUUUACUAAUAUCUUCUAAGACCGUAGACUAGAGAAUAGGACUAAGUAAGUUAAGAGGAUUGAAAGCGACCAGUUUCUGUCUUUGUCUUACACACGUGAGAUAUAGGGAUUUAGAUGUGUUUUAAUUCCAAAGUACCGAUUGAUCUAGUGAAGGGAUAAGAAUUCUAAAAAUGGAUUCGAAUUUGUCGUGAAGUCUAUUUGAGAUCAACUUUCUCACUUUUUAAAGUUAUCUCCUUAAAUUCUAAAAAAAGUCACACUAGUUAAAG